rnacentral:ribozyme from 1 species
AAAUGAAGAAAUAAAAAAAUGAUGAAAAAAAGAUCAAUAAGUCGACCAACGGGAGACUCUAUUUAUUUUUUUUCACUUAUUUCCUUUUUAUUUCUUUAUUUUUAAUUAAGUUUCUCGAAGUUUUAUUUUUCAUCAUUAC